rnacentral:misc_RNA from 1 species
UCCGAGUUGUCCCCGGCAGUCCCCUUAGAGUCCCCGGCAUUACCCGCUGGCAACUAAGGGCAGGGGUUGCGCUCGUUGCGGCACUUAAGCCAACACCUCACGGCACGAGCUGACGACAGCCAUGCAGCACCUGUGUUCCGGUUCCCUUUCGGGCACAACCGCCUCUCAGCGGCCUUCCGGACAUGUCAAGGGUAGGUAAGGUUGUUCGCGUUGCAUCGAAUUAAUCCACAUCAUCCACCGCUUGUGCGGGUCCCCGUCAAUUCCUUUGAGUUUUAGCCUUGCGGCCGUACUCCCCAGGCGGAACACUUAACGCGUUGGCUACGGCACAGACAGAUUCGACUCCGCCCACACCUAGUGUUCAUCGUUUACGGCGUGGACUAC